AUUGAACGCUGGCGGCAUGCCUUACACAUGCCAGUCGAACGGCAGCAUGAUCUAGCUUGCUAGAUUGAUGGCGAGUGGCGAACGGGUGAGUAAUACAUCGGAACGUGCCCUGUAGUGGGGGAUAACUAGUCGAAAGAUUAGCUAAUACCGCAUACGACCUGAGGGUGAAAGUGGGGGACCGCAAGGCCUCAUGCUAUAGGAGCGGCCGAUGUCUGAUUAGCUAGUUGGUGAGGUAAAGGCUCACCAAGGCGACGAUCAGUAGCUGGUCUGAGAGGACGAUCAGCCACACUGGGACUGAGACACGGCCCAGACUCCUACGGGAGGCAGCAGUGGGGAAUUUUGGACAAUGGGCGAAAGCCUGAUCCAGCAAUGCCCGUGUGUGAAGAAGGCCUUCGGGUUGUAAAGCACUUUUGUCCGGAAAGAAAUGGCUCUGGUUAAUACCUGGGGUCGAUGACGGUACCGGAAGAAUAAGGACCGGCUAACUACGUG
rnacentral:rRNA from 1 species